rnacentral:lncRNA from 1 species
CACCAUGAGAAGAGCUUCUCCCCUGUAAAUGGCCACUCUCACUUGUGGGUCCAUGACUAGCUGAACUGAACCCAUUCCACAGUAAGGACCCAAGCCCAGCAGAUCUGCAGCCAAAACCAAAGUUGCUCAGUGGGACCCAUGCCACAUAAGCCGACCCAUGGCCAACCUGAAAAUAAAUUUUCAGCCAAGACAUUCUUUUGCAGCCUAAGAGGGUUAUUAUGGAGAGGUGGAAAGAUCUUCAAACCUGGAAGGCUUGCUUCAAACCCCAGCUCUACUCCAACUACAGGAUUGGGGCAGAGGCUGGAAGAGCUAAAAUGUUCAUUUCUCAGCCUCUCCUUCUGCCAGCAAUAAGACACUGGGAGGUCUGUUGAUGUGGCAGAUGGCGGUGGCAUGCCCUGUGUCCCAUGCCCACAGUCUAAUCACCUCUGACUUCAGUCACAGCUGUGGUGGACAGUUCCGUGUGUUCCAAUUCACCUCAUGCAAGACAGCAUCCAGUCUCAAGGUCUCCAGCACUAGUUUCAAAUUAUGAAGACUUGGCUUCUCUAAAAGCUCCUGGAGAGGUGUGGACUUCUAACAGCCAUCUUAUAUCACAAACGUCAUCUCUGCUUCCAGAGGGCACAGCCUAGAACAGGAACAAAGGUUCGACCUCCUUCCAAGUUCAAGUUAAUAUUUGAGGCUCUCUUUAGAAGUUCAGGGAUCCAGAACCACAUAAUAUUUUUCCUCUCUAGGGGCUUAACUCCUCAGUGAUGUUAAGUAUCCUGACUGAAGCCUGGGAAUGUUCCACACUCACUGUCCUGUGGCCCGGACAAAUGAGAGUUGUUUAUCUUUCAACUCCACUUAGAAAAGUAAAUUUAAAAAACUCA